AUGUCUGGAAAAUUAAGAGUCAAAAAGUCUCGUGGCCUUUCUGCCCUUUGCACUGAAAGGAAAAUGAACUACCUGGUCAUAGGAUGAAUGUUGUCUUUGGUCACCAUCAAGAUCCUGACCUGCCUAACUGAUGUGACACAGGGAAAGAGGUCUAUUUAUUUGCCCUCCUGGAAAAGAGAAUGUAUCUCGAGACGUCAAAAUAUUUUGUUCGCCUUCAUUCGAUUGCAAAAGGAGCCUUAGGUGAGGCACCUUGGAUGGCAGCUUCAGUUCACACUCCUGACACCCUGCUUCACUCUGAAGGCAACAUCCUGAAGCUGGGCACCUGAACAAGCUCAAGAGGUGUAUUAUUAUACCAUACAAGUAGUGGGAGGAGGUGUGUACAAAUAUACGCACUCAAAGGCAAAAAUACCUCAUGAGGAGUCCCACAAAAGAAACGCUUUACAAUAUUUCAAGAAACCAUGCAGAAACAUGAAGAUCAAGUGAGGGGGAACAUGUGCCAGUCUGGUCCACUAACCUGCUUAGAUGCAGCUUGUUAACAGCAAAAUAACCUGCCAUCUGAUGCUCCGCAUGCUGUCUGCAUGCUGGCACUCAGCAGACCUCAGACCUCAGAAGCAAUCUUCUCAAACAUGGUUAUACAUUUCACUGUAAGUGAAAGAGAACAAAAGAAAUAAAAACACAACAAGGCUCUUUCUCCACAUUGGUACUUUCUUC